rnacentral:rRNA from 1 species
UACGUAGGUGGCAAGCGUUAUCCGGAAUUAUUGGGCGUAAAGCGGGAGCAGGCGGCAGCAAAGGUCUGUGGUGAAAGACUGAAGCUUAACUUCAGUAAGCCAUAGAAACCGGGCAGCUAGAGUGCAGGAGAGGAUCGUGGAAUUCCAUGUGUAGCGGUGAAAUGCGUAGAUAUAUGGAGGAACACCAGUGGCGAAGGCGACGAUCUGGCCUGCAACUGACGCUCAGUCCCGAAAGCGUGGGGAGCAAAUAGG